UAGACUUUUGCCUCUCUCAGUUCACUCACUUGUUCAUAUUUCAAAUGCCACAAGGCUUUCCUGCAUACAUGAGGCCUUUUCCUGUAUUCUCCGUUCUGUUCCAGUGACAGGUCUGUCUGUGUUUAUUCUAUUACCUCCUCUCCCCAUGGCUUUUUAUAGAAGUUUGAUAUCUGGUAGGGCAAAUAUGCUCAUUUUCAAAUUUUUCUUAGCUAUUCUCAUGAAUUUACUGUUUCUGGUGAAUUUUAGAAUUAUUCUAAUGAGUUCUAAGACACAUCCCAUUGAGAUUUUGAUAACAAUUGUGCUAAAUUUAUAGAUGAAUAUGAGAAAGUCAGUUCUCACUAGCAGGUCUUUCCAUCAAGGAGCAUAUUGUAUCUGCUUAUUCUGGAGUUGCCUCUCUGAUAACAGUUUUAACCUAGAUGCUCAUUGUGGCAUUGUUUUGUUCUAAACACAUGUAUUACAAAGAUAGUAUUAGAGUAAAUUAGUUGAGGGAAAAGCCUUACAUCAUCUAUCCCUGUUUUCAUUUCUCUUUUCAUCUUUAAUUUUGGUCUAAGGAGACUUCUCACCACAGAAGACAGCACAUAAAAACUUCCAGCCAUAAAAUUUUAAAACAAAAAGAAGGUAGCAUUUCUCCCCUUUAAUGUUCCCUCAACCUUACUCUUGACUAUGUCUGUAAAGUAGAAGCUUUCCUUAAAGUGAUAAAGAGGAGGGGGAAAACCCCCACAUACAUUCAUACUACAGAGUUUGUAUGUAUAUUUUCUCUUUUUCCUAAGAUUUUAAAAAAAUAGAAUGCCUAGGGGAAAAUAUUUGAGCUAAGACUAUUUUUGUCAUACGCUUGACAUUGGCAUAUGCAGUUAUAAGGCUCCUGGGAAGUCACCCAGCAAACUCUGGGGAACAAUGUCAAAGCAGAGGAACCUGGCUGUUCCAUUAAGUAGGGGCCAUCCCCUACUGAGUUUUUUAUACUUUGACAUUUUAAACUCACACAAUAAAGCCAAAACAAGCAUUACAGAACAAUGUAACAUAAACAUAGGAUGUAAGUUUUGCCCUUAAUCUUGAGUGCGCACAUGUGUCCUUGUCAGUUUAUGAGCUUGCCUUGGCCAGAAAAAUACCAAAUAUAGGGAUCCUCCUCCUUCAGCGAAGACAUUUGUUUUAGGAAACCUUGAAUGUUUAUUAAUGCGAGCACCUUUUUAUAUUCAGAUAAUGUUUUGUAGUUGACAAAGUGCUUUCAACAUGUCAUCUCAUUUCCUUCUGACCACAAUACCAUGAGGCUUAAGGAAACCACUAAUAUACAUUAGUAUAUUCAUUAUAGCAUUCUUAGAAAAGAAUGGCUUUAAAGAGUACUUAUUUGAUAAUAUAACACAUAUUUGUUGGCAGUCAUAAUAUGAAUGAGCCCUGUACCAAGCUCUUGGUACUUCAUAGCAUAGAAGUUACACACAUUUACAAGACUGAAGGAGAAAAAAAAAAGAUAAAUAUGUAAAAUAUAUGUUUUACAUAGUGAUAAUAGGGAAGCAAUAAAAAUUGUGUAAUGGCUGGAGAAAGAUGGUGAUAAAGUGGGAGCAACCUUAGAUGGGUGUGUCAGUGAAGACUUCUCUAAAGAGAGUGGAGACUGAGCAUGGUGACUCACAUUUGUAAUCCCAGCACUUUGGGACACUGAGGCAAGAGGAUCGGUUGAGCCCAGGAGUUCAAGACUAGCCUGAGCAACACAGAGAGACCCCACCUCUACAAAAGAUUAAAACAAUUAGCAAGGCAUGGUGGCACGUGCCAGUAGUCCCAGCUACUCAGGAGGCUGAGAUGAGAGGAUCACUUGAGCCCAGGAAUUGGAGGAUGUAGUGAGGUAUGAUCAUGCCGUUGCACUCCAGCCUGGGUGACAGAGUAGGGCCCUGUCUCAUAAAUAAAAAAUAUAAAAAUUUAUAAGAGAGCUGAGACCAAAAUAAUGAGAGAAAACUAACCAUCCUUUGGGUGGUAGCUGGAGGGAGAUUUGUGUCAAGGGACAUCUAUUUGAACAAGGACAUAUUUACAUGUCAAUGGCUUGUACCCUUGUCCUGCAAUGGUAGCAGUAGAGGUGGUGGGAAGAGGUCAGAACUGGAAUAUAUUUUGAAGGUAGAUGUGACAAGAUUUACUGAUGUGGGGUGUGAGAAAUAAAGAAGCCAAAGAUGAUGUCAAGGAUUUUAGGCUAAGCAUCAGACGAUCGAGUUGCCACUUACUGAAAUAUGGAAAAUUAGGAGUUUGACCUGAGAUGUCCAUGAGAGACUUAAGUGAAGAUAUUGCAAAGGUAGAUAUGUGCAGCUGAAAUUCCAGGGAGAGGCCCAGGAUGCAGAUGGGCCUCUGCAUACUGCAUAUAGAUCAGUAUGCAGAUUGUAUGUAAGCCACAUGGCUGGAUAAAUUCACCAAGGGAAUGAAUGAAGAUCAUUGGAGAAGGAGAGAGGCCCAUUGAGCCCCGGGCCCUCCAUGGUUUAGAGGUUUUCCUAAACCUUGGAAUGGUGUUUCAAGGAGGAAAGAGGAAUCGAUUUUGUCAAUGCUGCCCAUCAUCAAGUCAGAAUAAGACUGAAAAUUGGUCCAUGCAUUUAGCAACGUGGAGGUCAGUAAUGAUAUUGACACAAAUAGCAUUUGUGGAAGAGUGGGAAUGAAAAUAUGAUGGAGCAGUGGGAUGUAUUAGUCUGCUCUCACACUGCUGAUAAAGACAUACCUAAGACUGGGUAAUUUAUAUAUAUAUAAAAAAAGAAGUUUAAUGGACUCACAGUUGCACGUGGCUGGAGAGACCUCACAAUCAUGGAGGAAGGUGAAAGGCACAUCUUACAUGGCAGCAGGCAAAGAAGGAAUGAAAGAGCCAAGCAAAAGGGGAAAUCCCUUAUAAAAUCAUCAGCUCUUGUGAGACUUGUUCACUACCAUGAGAACAGUGUAAGAGAAACCACCCCCACAAUUCAAUUAUCUCCCACUGGGUCCCUCCCACAAAACGUGGGAAAUAUGGGAGCUGCAAUUGAAGAUGAAAUUUGGGUGGGAACACAGCCAAACCUUAACCAUGGGGUUGAGAUGAAAAAAAAUCAGAGACUAUAAGUAAAGACCCCUCUUUUCAGGAGUUUUGUUAUAAAAAAGAAAAAACACUGGUAUAUUUAUUUCUUCAAUAACUGUUGGGUGAGGAAUGAGUGGUGAAGUCACCUUUUGGCCAGAUUUCAGGCACCACAGAGAAGGCCCUGGGUGGACUGCUUUUAUGACAAGACUGGUUGGCCUUAGAGGGAAGUUCCCUUAGAGGGAAGUCACAGGGAGAUGAGGUUACAUUAGAAACCAAGAAAUAUACAUAGAAUUAAGGGAACAACAAGGUCUAUUGUUGCACUGGGGAAGUAGCAGCAGUGGGAAGCCACCAUCCCCGGCAGCCUGAGAGAGAAAGAGAGGAAGCCCAGUGAGAGUUGGAGACAGGAAUCAGAAAAGAAAAUCCUCUACAAAUAUACUGAAAGGCAUCUAAUGAAGUAAUUAUUUAUAGAGUAGUAAGGAGGGUUACAAGAACCAAUAAGAGGUGCUAAGGCAUCCUAGGGCUACCUUAUUUAUUGAGUUGGUGCCCAAUAAACCAUUAAGAGAAUUUCUGGAACACUGUACUGAAACCUGUCAUUUUGGAUCAAGGUCCAAGCAGGGUCUCUCCUAGCCCCUUUAUCCCAAUUCUAACCAUAGCAGGUGUGUGAGAGUAAGGGAUUGGAAUGACCUCUGUUGAGGACUGGCUUGGAGCUUAUAAAGGCCGUACGCUUGCACUAACUUUGAAUCUGGCUUCAUGGGAGAACAGAGGGAACAGAGAAAUUGAACCCAAGAAAGAAGAGCCCAGAACCCAGAAAGGUUGAUGAUGGAGUUGACUGGAGAGGAAGAGGCAAGCCCAGACAUCACUUUUAUUGUCUGUUAUUUUGCAAACGGCAAUUUUGUCAGAGGCAUUCGAACCAGAGUGACUUCAUCUUGAGUGAGGGUUAGAAAAAAAUGCGACUGGGACUUGCUGGACUGCAUUCCCAGAAAGUUAGGUAUUCCUGGCCAGGCAUGUGGGUCAUGCCUGUAAUCCCAGCACUUUGGGAGGCCGAGGUGGGCAGAUUACAAGGUCAGGAGUUGGAGACCAGCCUGGCCAACAUGGAGAAACUCUGUCUCUACUAAAAAUACAAAAAUUAGCCGGGCGUUGUGGCAGGUUCCUGUAGUCCCAGCUGCUCGGGAGGCUGAGGAAGGAGAACUGCUUGAACCCAGGAGGCGGAGGUUGCAGUGAGCCAAGACUGCACCACUACACUCCAGCCUGGGUGACAGAGCGAGACUCCGUCUCUGAAAAACAAAAACAACAACAAAAAGUUAAGCAUUCCUAGCCUCUAGAUGUUCAUGGUUAAGGGAACAGAUUGAUAAUGUUUACUAAACAGACCCAGACAUAAGGGUGUCCUGAUAUCCCGCUGUCUUGAGAACAGAAGCAUUCCUAAUUUUGCUUUAAAGAUAAUAAUAUCGAUUCUUGCAAAAUAUAGUCAUUAAGAAAAUCCAUUACCACAAACCCUUGUAGCAGAGCACAUCUCCCCAUAAUCUUUAAAAAUUUUUUUUUAUCCUGUGUAUAAGCAAGUAUUGUACCUAGGGUGGAUGUGUUCCUCCUCUUACUUUCGGGAACGUCCUACUCUGUAUAUGGAGUAGCCAUUCUUUUAUUUCUUUACUUCCUUAAUAAACUUGCUUUCAUUUUACUCUAUGGACUCGUCCUGAAUUCUUUGUGUGUGAAAUCCAAGAAUGCUUUCUUGGGGUAUGGAUCCGGACCCCUUUCCGGAAACAAUUUUGCCUUCUAAACAUGACCCAAUUAGAGUUCUGGAACUUUGCCUAGGGCUUAGAGUUAAAUAGGAUUUCACUAUUCACUUAAAUUUACAUAACAUAUUAGCAUUUUAAAGAGACUUGAACUUAAGUGAUUAUAUUUGAUGACCCACAUAACUCUGUACUAGUGAGAGAGGGAUCUGUCAUCCCAUUUAACAUAUGAGGAUUUAUUCCUUUCCUCAAUAGAUUGCCAUAGAGUACCUAUUAAGAGCCUUGGCUGGGCGCUGUGGCUCAAGCCUGUAAUCCCAGCACUUUGGGAGGCCAGGGUGGGCAGAUCACCUGAAGUCAGGAGUUUGAGAACAACCUGGCCAACAUGGUGAAACCCUGUCUCUACAAAAAAUAAAAAAAUUAGCCAGGGGUGAGGGCAGGUGCCUGUAAUCUUAGCUACUUAGGAGGCUGAGGCAGGAGAAUCACUGGAACCCACGAGGCGGAGGUUGCAGUGAGCCGAGAUCACACCAGUGCACUCCACCCUGGACGAUAGAAUGAGACUUCUAAAAAAAAAAAAAACGCCUCACACGGUUUUAGGUGCUAUUAAUACAGUAAGAAACAAAUAAACAAAGCUCAUUGCCCUUGAUGGACUUUAAAAAAUGAUCCAAGUAUAUGCUGUCUGUAAAAGAUACACCCUAGACUCAAAGACACAAAUAAGCAAAUCAAAGGAUGAAAAAGAUACACUAUAUGAACACUAGCCAAAGAGGUCUGGAAUGGCUACACUAAUAGCAGACAAAACAGACUUUAAGGCUGGGGUCAGUGGCUCGCGCUUGUAAUCCCAGCAUGUUGGGAGCCCGAGGCAGGCGGGUCACCUGAGGUCAUCAGGAGUUCAAGACCAGCCUGGCCAACAUGGUGAAACCCCGUCUCUACUAAAAAUACAAAAAAAAAUUAGCCAGGUGUGGUGGCAUGCACCUGUAAUCCCAGCUACUCAGGAGGCUGAGGCAGGAGAAUCGCUUGAACCUGGGAGUCAGAUGUUGCAGUGAGCUGAGAUCGUGCCACUGCACUCCAGCCCAGGUAACAGAGCAAGACUCCAUCUCAAAAAAAAAAAAAAAAAA
rnacentral:lncRNA from 1 species